GUGCUUCGAUAUGUAUAAUGAUAAAGGAGAAGUUUAUAGUAGGUCUUAACAGUUAUGGUUAGAUCUUGCUUACAUUGAUUUAUUACAACCAAAUAUAUUUUGCCUUAACCAAUUUUACCACAAGCAUUGCACUUAAAUGUCCCAAUUUACAAUAAUUUCCUCGUUUGAUCCAUACCAUUUUCUGUAUUUCAUCAAUGUAAAAGCACUGAAAUUAUGCAUUGUUACCAGAAAAUCCACAAUUUAGUAUGAAGCAAGUAUAAGAAAGAAUUUUGAUAGGGCUUUACAAUGUCACAGACCACGUUAUACAAA
rnacentral:lncRNA from 1 species